CGGAGGAUCCAAGCGUUAUCCGGAAUCAUUGGGUUUAAAGGGUCCGUAGGCGGUUUGGUAAGUCAGUGGUGAAAGCCCUUCGCUCAACGGAGGAACGACCAUUGAUACUGCCAGACUUGAAUUACUGGGAAGUAACUAGAAUAUGUAGUGUAGCGGUGAAAUGCUUAGAUAUUACAUGGAAUACCAAUUGCGAAGGCAGGUUACUACCGGUGGAUUGACGCUGAUGGACGAAAGCGUGGGGAGCGAACAGGAUUAGAUACCCUGGUAGUCCACGCCGUAAACGAUGGAUACUAGCUGUUGGGAGCAAUCUCAGUGGCUAAGCGAAAGUGAUAAGUAUCCCACCUGGGGAGUACGUUCGCAAGAAUG
rnacentral:rRNA from 1 species